rnacentral:rRNA from 1 species
GUCCGCCAGAAAAUUACGAGCGAAAGCCUAAAACUCAAAAGACUUGACGGUGUCCCAACCUCCCUAGAGGAGCCUGUUCCAUAAUCGACAACCCCCGAUACACCUAACCACCCUUAGAACCACCAUUCAGCCUAUAUACCGCCGUCGUACAGCCUACCUUUUAAAAGCAUACAAGUAGGCUAAAUAGUAAUAUACUAAUAAGUCAGGUCAAGGUGUAGCUUAUAAGGUGGAGGAAAUGGGCUACAUUGCUUAUAUUAAACCAUACGAACUUAUUCUUUAUUCCUGAAAAAGAAAAUGAAGGCGGAUUUAGCAGUAAUUUAAACAAGAAUAUUUAAAUUAA